GUACCCAAAUGCCAAGCUAGUGGUCGUGGACAGGAAGGAUAUUCCGUCCAGGCCGCGAGCAAGGGUUUGGUUACCUUCAACCGUCGAAGACCCGGUAGAGAUUAUGAAACUCAUCCGGGUCUGCAAUCCGGAUAUCCCAACGCAGGAGUGGAGGUAUGUCGAAACACUUACCAACCAAAACAGCGCGGAUGAAUCGAAAGAGCAGAAGCGCGCCACCAUGCAGGCUCUCCUGCUCCUCACGGAGAACUCAAUUGAACCGUUAGCGAAAUGCGACGGGCAACUGAGGUAGGGUUUUGUAAAGGUGAAGCUCCACAUUUACAAAACCGACACGGAUGCAAUUGAGUUCCUCGCCACGAAGGAAAGCGAAAAGCCCAUGAGGGAGCUGGAACCCAUGAGCGAAACCGAGCCUAUGAGCGAGGACGACCAGCCCACCGAAGAAGAAUACGCUUAUGGGCUUAGGGAGGUUGUACUUCGAACGGGAGGAUAAAUCUACACCACUGUAAAGAAGCCUGCCUUGCCCUCCUGGAUCGUCUGGCAGAAGAUCAGCCGGAUGUAGUCCUCAUCCAGGAACCCUGGGUACGGAAUGGCGAAAUCUGCGGUCUGAGGACAUCAGGUUAUAAAGUAUAUAAGACUAAUUGUGAAGUAACGCAGAUACUACGACGGUUGGCUGGGAAGUAAGCGGAAGCAACACCUGGCUAACCUCGUUCUAUUUUGCCGGAGACGACACAGGUCCACUGCCGUCGCCGCUAAUAAGAAGCCUUGUGGAAGACUGCAAAGCUAACAACCGCAAACUAGUACUAGGAGGUGAUGCCAAUGCCCACCAUACCAUAUGGGGGAGCUCGGAUACAAACGAACGAGGAAUCCAAUAUCCUCGAAACUGAAUGAUUUACACAAGGAUGCACGGGUAUUCUACCGACUGCGCCACUUUUAUUUUCCGGAGCGAAGAACAGCGAAAAAAAUAAAACACAUGGUUUUAAAGUUUAAUCAAUAAUAAGCAAGCUUUCUUUAUUUUACACUUUCUUAAAUACUAUUAUUUUGCUUUCCGUUGCAUUUUUGUUAGCGGAAAUGCACUUGGACAAAUAAAUAUACAUAUUGGGG